AGGACGAACGCUGGCGGCGUGCUUAACACAUGCAAGUCGAGCGGUAAGGCCUUUCGGGGUACACGAGCGGCGGACGGGUGAGUAACACGUGGGUGAUCUGCCCUGCACUCGUGGGAUAAG
rnacentral:rRNA from 1 species